GAUGAAGAACGCAGCGAAAUGCGAUAAGUAGUGUGAAUUGCAGAAUUCAGUGAAUCAUCGAAUCUUUGAACGCACAUUGCGGCCAUAGGUAUUCCUUUGGCCAUGCCUGUUCGAGCGUCAUUUACACCCUCAAGCCUAGCUUGGUGUUGGGCGCCUGUCCCGCCGUUUUCGCGCGCGGACUCGCCUCAAAGUCAUUGGCGGCGGUCGUGCCGGCCCCCUCGCGCAGCACAUUUGCGCUUCUCGAAGGCCCGGCGGAUCCGCGCUCCAGCAAGACCUUUCACGACUUGACCUCGGAUCAGGUAGGGAUACCCGCUGAACUUAAGCAUAUCAAUAAGCGGAGGA
rnacentral:misc_RNA from 1 species